CGGAGCCGGAACCGGAACUGGAUCACAGUGGGCAGCACAGCCACAGCGCCCAGAGCACCAGUCCUUGAGAGUUCAGACGCCCAAUUAGUGUCCUUAUAAAAUGGUGUCAGGGAACCUUCUCUAAAAUCCCGUAUAUCACCCUUAGGACACUGAAGUAUCCGUACGCCGAAUCAUCCAUCUUCCUGCAGAUCUCCUCUCCUCCCACUUACUUGGGCCUAAAGCGGCUGCUUGCAGUGAGAGAAGAGAAGCAGGAUCUUCCUUCCCUCGUUCUUGCUCUGCUCCUUCUCUUCUACAAGUUUGGCCGUUCCGUGGGCUCCUCGUAAAUUGCCUUCACUGGAAAAUUCCGAUUCUGCCCCACUGACAGGUAGACAACGCCCUUCCUGAGCCCCCGGCUUUCACAGUGACCCCUCAGUUUGGACUCUCAGUGUUAGAAGCUGUGGCACCGGGCAGAAGCUACUUUUCUCCUAUGCAUCUGCAGUGUUUUCCUCCCAAGUCCAAGGAAGCUGGUCAUAAUCUGAAGAUGAUCUUGCCAUCAACUGUUCCUGCAGAUAGCACCAGGGAGCCCUUUGUCUGUAACAUAAGCCGCUGUUUGUCCCAGGAAUUAGGCUUCAAAAGUUAUCAGAUGAGAUCUCCUCUGUAACUUCUUGCUGUUGGGAGACAAUCACCCACAAUCCCACAGAGAGAGGGAGAGAAAGAGAGCCACUGGCUCAGCUGUGAUCAGGUGUCAUUCAUCAUCACUUUCUACACAUACUGCAAGACAUGGGUUUUUACUCUACCUGGAGCUGACCUUACCUUCCUCCUGGCUCUGCUCAAGCCUUGCUUCCUCCAGAAAUCUCUUCCAAAGGAAUAUGACCCUCAUCGAUCAUGCCUCUGGGUCCGUGGGUGCUUUACUCAUGGCCUGAGCCAUUCAUUAUGGACCCUCAAUAUGGAGCUUAAUUAAACACUGUCUUACCUUCUCCUAAUU